rnacentral:rRNA from 1 species
GACGAACGCUGGCGGCGUGCUUAACACAUGCAAGUCGAACGGAAAGGCCCUGCUUUUGUGGGGGGCUCGAGUGGCGAACGGGUGAGUAACACGUGAGUAACCUGCCCUUGACUUUGGGAUAACUUCAGGAAACUGGGGCUAAUACCGGAUAGGAGCUCCUGCUGCAUGGUGGGGGUUGGAAAGUUUCGGCGGUUGGGGAUGGACUCGCGGCUUAUCAGCUUGUUGGUGGGGUAGUGGCUUACCAAGGCUUUGACGGGUAGCCGGCCUGAGAGGGUGACCGGCCACAUUGGGACUGAGAUACGGCCCAGACUCCUACGGGAGGCAGCAGUGGGGAAUAUUGCACAAUGGGCGGAAGCCUGAUGCAGCAACGCCGCGUGCGGGAUGACGGCCUUCGGGUUGUAAACCGCCUUCGCCUGUGACGAAGCGUGAGUGACGGUAAUGGGUAAAGAAGCACCGGCUAACUACGUG